AUUGAACGCUGGCGGAAUGCUUUACACAUGCAAGUCGAACGGCAGCACGGGGCAACCUGGUGGCGAGUGGCGAACGGGUGAGUAAUACAUCGGAACGUGCCCAAUCGUGGGGGAUAACGUAGCGAAAGUUACGCUAAUACCGCAUACGAUCUACGGAUGAAAGCGGGGGAUCGCAAGACCUCGCGCGAAUGGAGCGGCUGAUGUCAGAUUAGGUAGUUGGUGGGGUAAAGGCUCACCAAGCCAACGAUCUGUAGCUGGUCUGAGAGGACGACCAGCCACACUGGAACUGAGACACGGUCCAGACUCCUACGGGAGGCAGCAGUGGGGAAUUUUGGACAAUGGGCGCAAGCCUGAUCCAGCCAUUCCGCGUGCAGGAUGAAGGCCUUC
rnacentral:rRNA from 1 species